GUAAAAUCAUUUGCAGAAUGAGAGAAAGGACACUUACAAAGAUUCUAUGAUUCUUCAGCCACCGCAAAAGAAAGGCUUCUGUACAGUGUUGCUCUUCCCUCGUGCUCUGUGUUAAAAGGAAGGAGGGAGGAGGUGAAGAGCCAGGCGGUCAUGGAGAGAUAAAAAAUGGAUGGUGGAGGGAGAAAGUCAGAGGGCAAAGAUGAAGAAGGCAGCAGCAUAAUGAAGGUGAAGAGCUGUGUAGACUUUUUUUUAAGAUCAUACAGAGAUAUCAUGGCACAACCACCUAGAAGCAACGCCUUCUCAUGGAGAAAUCUUGCCUGUUGACCCUAGUAGGAGUCCAGAGCGGCAAAUGAUUUUGUACAAUACACGAACCAGGAAGAACCGGAUCAAGUUUCUUUGCCAGCAUAUAAAUGGAUAUGAUUUCUUUAAGUGGGUCUUUCCCCUCUUUUCUGCUUUAUCCACACCCAACCCCCCCCAAAAAGGGUAAUAAUAAGCACAAGUAAAAUAAGCAGUAUACUGAAAAUGGUAAAUGAAAAUAUCCUGGCUUUAAAAGUUGAAUUCCAUAAAUGGAACACCAACCAAUAUGAGUAUUUUAAAUUAUUUUUGAGUAUUUAAGUUUGUUAAUG